rnacentral:rRNA from 1 species
GCUGACAUUAUCUCUGUCGGAUUCAGCUGGUCUUUGGGUGGUUCGCUUGUUCUGUGAUCGUUAAGACACUGUUCAAGGUGUUUCCUUCUUAGGCUGGUGCAUUUCCGGCAGAGUGCAUCGUGACCGACAGCUUCGCUGGCAAACGGUAGGUGGAUUGCCGACUGUGGGUUUUCGGACUCGCGGUGCCCCAUCCCCUUAUCCUGAUCCGGGUUGCAGCUGUCGGAUAACCGAACGCGCCCGCUUUGCUCGUCGCACGUUGUCACUGGGUUGACUGAAUCUACGUGCCUUGCUUGCAAGGUGCGUUAACCCUCGAUUCUUUCGGCAGCGUACGUUCGAGUGGCGCUUAAGGUCUACGAUGUCCGCGUCAGUCUCCCAACCGACCCGUCUUGAAACACGGACCAAGGAGUCUAACAUGUACGCAAGUCAAUGGGUGGAAAACCCAAAGGCGAAAUGAAAGUAAAGGCCGCAAGGCCGAGGUGUGAUGUCUGGCUUGACUGGACCGCAACACCGCCCCAUCGCAUCGGCAUGUCCGAGCGGUGGCGGAAGAGCGUACCUGUUGGGACCCGAAAGAUGGUGAACUAUGCCUGAGCAGGAUGAAGCCAGAGGAAACUCUGGUGGAGGUCCGUAGCGGUUCUGACGUGCAAAUCGAUCGUCAGAC